AGGAAUAACAUUAUGGUGUUCCAAAUAUGCAGCGACAUGACUAAAGGUCAAAUUUCUAAAGUGUUUGUCAUGCUUGCAGAAACAACAUAGAUCUUUUCACAUUUUCUGGAUUUAUUCAUGCCCGUGGAGUUUUUGUGCCCAUCAUAUGUAGAUCUUUUAUUGGUAAGUUUGGAUGUUGUAGACUGAUCCGCUUUGGUAAGUCAUGUUUGCCUGCAGGGUGAUGACGUUUAUGCAUCUAGGGAACCAUGGAGAUUUUACCAUGUGAUAUUUCCUCAAGCAAACUAAGUUAUUUUGCAAUUUGCUGCUCAAGUUGUGGCUCUUCUGCAGGUAUGUCAUUGUGGUCCUUUCCACUAUAUUUAUUUGACGUAUAUGCUUCCAGACAAUAACUUAGGUUUUGUACUACAUGGUAAAUGAAAUGAAAUUUCUAAUAUGCUAGAACGUACAAUGGUAAUUGUUAGUUUCAUUAGUAUUUCUCGGCAAACCCUUGUUCUUUCUUGGUCUGCUGAAAAUAAUUGUUAUCAGUUUUUCUUUACAUUGUCUAUAGAGAAAGUGAUGUUUUUAAGAGAUAUUUCUGUAACAUGAGCAAUGGUGCUUACUUCUUAUAUCCCAUAUAUUGUUGAAUUAUGUGCUUAUGAGGAAAAACGGUCAUGGCGGUCCUGCACAAGUGGAUGAAUGACUGGAAGGGGCGGCACCACGACGGUUAAGGUGGUUUAUACCCAGCCAGGGAGGACGACCCCCUGCAAUGGGCACGGAAAAAUGUUGCAGCAGCGAACGAGGAGGCGGAGAUGCGCAAAGCAGAGUAGGAAAAACGUGCUCUGGUCCUCCUCCAAGCCCGUCGGUGACUCCCUAACAUGGUACGAGAUUGUUACCCCCUGCCGCGUCAUCAUUACUUGAAGUACAAGGAACCUGACAACAGUAUGUAACCAAUCACGAGGACUAGGAUGUUGAGGAAGAUGGUGAAUGGGCAGCUCCAACCAUAUGCAAAAGGAACAAUUUCAAAUCCUAAGUGCAAGGACCAUGUACGCAAAAGGUAUAACUGCAAUUGUACGACUAGAAUGGUAACUGUUCUAGACAAGCGAACACAAACAUUGUUGAAGUUGCACGUAUGUGUAAAUUUUUGUGUUGGGAAAACAUUCAGAUUGGAGGUGAACGAGGAUGACUCAAGCAUUACAAAGAACAGUUGGUAAACAAUGUACCGGUAUCAGCUGACCUUAUGUAUAUUGCGGUGUCAGUGCCAUACUUCUGUACAUAAAACGAUGGAACCGGCAUCAAUCACGUGAACGGGCAUGUUGAUUUAGUUUUCCUGUCUACGUGCCUUGAGCAUUUCUUCCUCUAUACCAGGCAAUGAUUGAGGAUUCACGGAUAUAUUGAGAUCAACUUUUCGAUGCAAUUUGGAUGAUCAAAUCACACCACUAUCUGAGCAUAUAUAAGAUGUUCGCAUAAUGAUUGUGAAAAUGCAGGCUACAUUUUUAAAUGUUCAUAAGGUUUGUGAACAUACAAUUUACUACAUGAAGGAUGUGCCUGGCUUCCAUGUUGAAGUAGUAGGACUAUUUCCACAUAUGCGAGAGAAGAACUAUGAUCGGAGGUACUAUGUAUGCUUGAUCCAAUUUAGACAUCAACAAUUAUGUAUCUAAAAGCUGGAGUGCUCCUUGAACAUUGUACUGUAUAUAUGAUUGAAAUGAGUUGCAUGUUGUCGGUGACGGCGAGUUGAACCAAUGGAAGUGGUUGUAAUGGUAAGAUAGAGAAGAUGGCCGUGGGAGAAAAAGAGGACGGCAGUAAUGGUAAAGAAGAGAAGAUCAUUGAUGUAAAAGGAGGACAUGUGUUGGACCUAGCAUGUCUAAAUACAAGCAUGUGGUCAUAAGUAUUUUCUUUUCCUUACAAACGAGAGUUGGUUAUUUGGCUUCACAACCUCCAUAUUUCAAUUUGGCAUGCAACGACA